rnacentral:rRNA from 1 species
GCGUAAGCGCACGCAGGCGGUUGGAUAAGUUAGAUGUGAAAGCCCCGGCCUCAACCUGGGAAUUGCAUUUAAAACUGUCCAGCUAGAGUCCUGUAGAGGGGGGUAGAAUUCCAGGUGUAGCGGUGAAAUGCGUAGAGAUCUGGAGGAAUACCGGUGGCGAAGGCGCCCCCCUGGACAAAGACUGACGCUCAGGUGCGAAAGCGUGGGGAGCAAACAGGAUUAGAUACCCUGGUAGUCCACGCCGUAAACGAUGUCGAUUUGGAGGCUGUGUCCUUGAGACGUGGCUUCCGGAGCUAACGCGUUAAAUCGACCGCCUGGGGAGUACGGCCGCAAGGUUAAAACUCAAAUGAAUUGACGGGGGCCCGCACGAGCGGUGGAGCAUGUGGUUUAAUU